rnacentral:rRNA from 1 species
UACGUAGGGACCAAGCGUUGUUCGGAUUUACUGGGCGUAAAGGGCGCGUAGGCGGCCUUGCAAGUGACGGGUGAAAUCCCUCGGCUUAACCGAGGAACUGCCUGUCAAACUGCGUGGCUUGAGACCAGGAGAGGUGAGUGGAAUUCCCAGUGUAGCGGUGAAAUGCGUAGAUAUUGGGAGGAACACCAGUGGCGAAGGCGGCUCACUGGACUGGUACUGACGCUGAUGCGCGAAAGCGUGGGGAGCAAACAGGG